GGCUGAGGCUGCGGGAGCUGGAGCGGGGAAGAAAAGGGAAUUCCAACCUGUGGAACCUUGGGGGGUCCCCGGGGUCGGCGCCUUCCCAUUGACUGUGGGCGGUGCAAGGGACGGAGCCUCUGGCGGCUCGUGGGGGUGUUGGGGUCCGCAGGGGGAGGGAGGGGAGUGUCAGAGUGUGAGCGGGGUACGGGAAUUCCAAAUUUGAGGGCCUCCCGGCUCUGGCGCCGGGGAGGGAGAGCUCAGGCCGCCAUGCGGGACAGGACCCACGAGCUGAGACAGGGGGAUGACAGCUCGGACGAAGAGGACAAGGAGCGGGUCGCGCUGGUGGUGCACCCGGGCACGGCACGGCUGGGGAGCCCGGACGAGGAGUUCUUCCACAAGCCCUCUCGGUCACCCUCCCCAGGUCCGGACAAUUCGGCAGACUAUUGUCAAACUGGGGAAUAAAGUCCAGGAGUUGGAGAAACAGCAGGUCACCAUCCUGGCCACGCCCCUUCCCGAGGAGAGUGAGUGAAACCCCGGCUGCAGGGCGCAUGCUCCGCCCCAGGGAUUGUGGGGGUUGUAGUUCCACGCAGGUGGUGGCCAGAGUGGUUUGUUGAGGUGGGGGCUGCUGUUUGGGAGUCUUGGCCUUCUCUUAUUCAGGCAUGAAGCAGGAGCUGCAGAACCUGCGCGAUGAGAUCAAACAGCUGGGGAGGGAGA
rnacentral:lncRNA from 1 species